rnacentral:tRNA from 11 species
GCGGGUGUAAUUCAGUGGUAGAAUGUCAGCUUCCCAAGCUGAUUGCGUGGGUUCGAUUCCCAUCACCCGCUCCA